GGCCUUUCUUUUAUCCUUUAUUGGCUGGCUACUGCCCACUCGCUGCUCUCCGUUUUCUGUUAUUGCAAUUUCAGCUGUCACCAAAUCAUCCUAUUCUACUUUGACAGUGAAAACGGGCAAUGUCAAGCUGCCAA
ensembl:ncRNA T22B7.12 ncRNA